CAACUACUCCCUCUGUCCCAAAUUUCUUGUCUUAGAUUUGUCUAGAUACGGAUGUAUCUAAUACUAAAGUGUGACUUGAUACAUCCGUAUCUAGACAAAUCUAAGACAAGAAUUUUGGGAUGGAGGGAGUACUUU
rfam:Triticum aestivum genome assembly, contig: Triticum_aestivum_CS42_TGACv1_scaffold_342684_4DL